rnacentral:rRNA from 1 species
AUUGAACGCUGGCGGCAGGCCUAACACAUGCAAGUCGAACGAGUGGCGGACGGGUGAGUCAUGUCUGGGAAACUGCCCGAUGGAGGUGGAUAACUGCUGGAAACGGUAGCUACUACCGCGUACCAUUGGGUGUGCGCCGAUUGGAUUAGCUAGUAGGUGGGGUAACGGCCCACCUAGGCGACGAUCCCUAGCUGGUCUGAGAGGAGGAUCAGCCACACUGGAACUGAGACACGGUCCAGACUCCUACGGGAGGCAGCAGUGGGGAAUAUUGGACAAUGGGCGCAAGCCUGAUGCAGCCAUGCAGCGUGUAUGAAGAAGGCCUUCGGGUUGUAAAGUACUUUCAGCGAGGAGGCGUUACGCGCAGAAGAAGCACCGGCUAACUCCGUGCCAGCAGCCGCGGUAAUUC